rnacentral:rRNA from 1 species
GACGAGCCACACGAACGUUAUUCGGAAUUACUGGGCUUAAAGGGUGCGUAGGCUGCGCGGAAAGUUGGGUGUGAAAUCCCUCGGCUCAACCGAGGAACUGCGUCUGAUACUGGAUGGCUUGAGUUCGGGAGAGGGAUGCGGAAUUCCAGGUGUAGCGGUGAAAUGCGUAGAUAUCUGGAGGAACACCGGUGGCGAAGGCGGCAUCCUGGACCGACACUGACGCUGAGGAGCGAAAGCCAGGGGAGCAAAC